rnacentral:misc_RNA from 1 species
GGAAAACUCCAAGCAAGAACUGUCCAAAGGAGAUGCCGCUCUCCACGGCAAUGACAAGGUUCUGCGGGUUGCCGAUGGGCGUCGCCGCGGAGCCGAUGUUGGAGCUGGUGGCGAGGGCGAGGAGGAACGGCUGCGGCGGCAGGUUGUUCUGCCUGGCAACCUUGAGGAUGAACUCGGUGAGCACGACGCAGCAGGUGUCAUUGGUGAAGAGCGC